GAUUAACGCUGGCGGCGUGCCUAACACAUGCAAGUCGAGCGGCAGCGAGUUUUACACUGACUUCUGGAAGCUUCUAGUUGAAAGAGAAGAUUUAUUCAAGAAUUUUGUGUAAAAUGUCGGCGAGCGGCGGACGGCUGAGUAACGCGUGGGAACGUACCCCAAAGUGAGGGAUAACGCAUCGAAAGGUGUGCUAAUACCGCAUAUGGUCUUCGGAUUAAAGCCUUCGGGCGCUUUGGGAACGGCCUGCGUAAGAUUAGAUAGUUGGUGGGGUAAUGGCCUACCAAGUCGACGAUCUUUAACUGGUUUGAGAGGAUGAUCAGUCAGACUGGAACUGAGACACGGUCCAGACUCCUACGGGAGGCAGCAGUGAGGAAUCUUCCACAAUGGGCGAAAGCCUGAUGGAGCAACGCCGCGUGCAGGAUGAAGGCCUUCGGGUUGUAAACUGCUUUUAUAAGUGAGGAUUAUGACAGUAACUUAUGAAUAAGGAUCGGCUAACUACGU
rnacentral:rRNA from 1 species